rnacentral:rRNA from 1 species
AUUGAACGCUAGCGGGAUGCUUUACACAUGCAAGUCGAACGAGUGGCGGACGGGUGAGUAAUAUAUCGGAACGUGCCCAGUAACGGGGGAUAACUACUCGAAAGAGUGGCUAAUUACGAAUACUAUUGGAGCGGCCGAUAACGGAUUAGCGAGUUGGGGGGGUAAAGGCGCACCAAGGCAACGAUCCUUAGCUGGGUUGGAAGGACGACCAGCAACUCUGGAACUGGAACACGGCCCAGACUCCUACGGUAGGCAGAGGUGGGGAAUUUUGGACAAUGGGGGAAAUCCUGCUCGAGCCAUCCCGGGUGUAUGAGAAGGCCUUCGGGUUGUAAAGUACUUUUGGCAGAGAAGCGGUAUCUGCAGAAUAAGCACCGGCUAACUACGUGCCAGCAGCCGCGGUAAUUC